rnacentral:lncRNA from 1 species
GGUGCUGUUAGUCCCAUUGGGUGCCAUUGGGUGCCAUUGGGUGCCGUUGGGUGCCGUUGGGUGCUAUUGGGUGCCGUUGGGUGCUGUUAGUCCCAUUGGGUGCUAUUGGGUGCCGUUGGGUGCUGUUGGGUGCUGUUGGGUGCCGUUGGGUGCCGUUGGGUGCUGCUGGGUGCUGUUAGUCCUAUUGGGUGCCAUUGGGUGCCACUGGGUGCCGUUGGGUGCUGUUGGGUGCCGUUGGGUGCCGCUGGGUGCUGUUAGUCCCAUUGGGUACUAUUGGGUGCCAUUGGGUGCCGUUGGGUGCUGUUGGGUGCUGUUGGGUGCCGUUGGGUGCCGCUGGGUGCUGUUAGUCCCAUUGGGUACUAUUGGGUGCCAUUGGGUGCCGUUGGAUGCUGUUGGGUGCCGCUGGGUGCCGUUGGGUGCUGUUAGUCCCAUUGGGUGCCGUUGGGUGCUGUUAGUCCCACUGGGUGCUAUUGGGUGCCGUUGGGUGCUGUUGGGUGUCGUUGGGUGCUGUUGGGUGCCGUUGGGUGUCGUUGGGUGCUGUUGGUCCCAUUGGGUGCCGUUGGGCACCAUUGGGUGCCAGUGGGUGUUGUUGGGUGCUGUUGGGUGCCGUUGGGUGCCAUUGGGUGCUGUUGCUCCCAUUGGGUGCUGUUGGUCCCAUUGGGUGUUUUUGGGUGCCAUUGGGUGCCAUUGGGUGCCGUUGGGUGCCGUUGGGUGUUGCUGCUCCCAUUGGGUGCCGUUGGGUGCCAUUGGGUGCUGUUGCUCCCAUUGGGUGCCGUUGGGUGCUGUUGGGUGCCAUUGGAUGCUGUUCGGUGACGUUGGUUGCUGUUGGGGGCUGUUGUUCCCAUUGGGUGCCGUUGGGUGUCAUUGGGUGCUGUUGGUCCUAUUGGGUGCCACUGGGUGCCAUUGGGUGCCAUUGGGUGCCAAUGGUUGA